UAGGGAAUCUUCGGCAAUGGGGGGAACCCUGACCGAGCAACGCCGCGUGAGUGAAGAAGGUUUUCGGAUCGUAAAGCUCUGUUGUUAAGGAAGAACGAGUGUGAGAAUGGAAAGUUCAUGCUGUGACGGUACUUAACCAGAAAGGGACGGCUAACUACGUGCCAGCAGCCGCGGUAAUACGUAGGUCCCGAGCGUUGUCCGGAUUUAUUGGGCGUAAAGCGAGCGCAGGCGGUUAGAAAAGUCUGAAGUGAAAGGCAGUGGCUCAACCAUUGUAGGCUUUGGAAACUGUUUAACUUGAGUGCAGAAGGGGAGAGUGGAAGUCCAUGUGUAGCGGUGAAAUGCGUAGAUAUAUGGAGGAACACCGGUGGCGAAAGCGGCUUUUUGGCCUGCAACUGACACUGAGGCGCGAAAGCGUGGGGAGCAAACAGG
rnacentral:rRNA from 1 species